rnacentral:rRNA from 1 species
CCUAGGGGAGGCAGCAGUGGGGAAUAUUGGACAAUGGGGGCAACCCUGAUCCAGCCAUGCCGCGUGUGUGAAGAAGGCCCUCGGGUUGUAAAGCACUUUCAGUGAGGAAGAACGCCUGGUGGUUAAUACCCAUCAGGAAAGACAUCACUCACAGAAGAAGCACCGGCUAACUCCGUGCCAGCAGCCGCGGUAAUACGGAGGGUGCGAGCGUUAAUCGGAAUUACUGGGCGUAAAGCGCGCGUAGGUGGCUUGAUAAGCCGGUUGUGAAAGCCCCGGGCUCAACCUGGGAACGGCAUCCGGAACUGUCAAGCUAGAGUGCAGGAGAGGAAGGUAGAAUUCCCGGUGUAGCGGUUAAAUGCGUAGAGAUCGGGAGGAAUACCAGUGGCGAAGGCGGCCUUCUGGACUGACACUGACACUGAGGUGCGAAAGCGUGGGUAGCAAACAGGAUUAGAUACCCCGGUAGUC